rnacentral:lncRNA from 1 species
GAAACAUAGGCAGAAGGAAUAAGUAUCUGGUAGAAGAAUGGGAAAAGGCUAGUGUAGCUGAAAUGCAGAGAGUUAAGAAGACAGUGGCAUGAAGUGUACCUGAUCCACAGAUCAGGGCCUUGAGGUUUGUAUUUUGGAUUUUAUCCUAAAUGUAAUAGGAAACCAUUGAAUGGUUUUUAGUGACAUUAUCCACUUUGUAGUCUUUGUUCUAACAGUACUGAAGAAGAUGGAUGGGUAUGGGAGCAAAGUUGAUGUGGGCAGAACAGGAGACCAUUUCAGAUUCAUGGUACUUUGAAGUAGAAUGAUAGCAGGAGAGAUGGAAGAUGAGUGUGAUGUAGGAAGUAAAAUUAACAGGAUUUGGUGAUAAGUUGGUUAUGGAGAUGAAGGACAAGGAAG